rnacentral:rRNA from 1 species
UACAGAGGGGGCAAGCGUUGUUCGGAAUUACUGGGCGUAAAGGGCGCGUAGGCGGCCUGUUAAGUCGAACGUGAAAUCCCCGGGCUCAACCCGGGAACUGCGUCCGAUACUGGCAGGCUUGAAUCCGGGAGAGGGAUGUGGAAUUCCAGGUGUAGCGGUGAAAUGCGUAGAUAUCUGGAGGAACACCGGUGGCGAAGGCGGCAUCCUGGACCGGUAUUGACGCUGAUGCGCGAAAGCUAGGGGAGCAAACGGG